GAUGAACGCUGGCGGCGUGCCUAAUACAUGCAAGUCGAGCGAACAGAUGAGGAGCUUGCUCCUCUGACGUUAGCGGCGGACGGGUGUGUAACACGUGGAUAACCUACCUAUAAGACUGGGAUAACUUCGGGAAACCGGAGCUAAUACCGGAUAAUAUAUUGAACCGCAUGGUUCAAUAGUGAAAGACGGUUUUGCUGUCACUUAUAGAUGGAUCCGCGCCGCAUUAGCUAGUUGGUAAGGUAACGGCUUACCAAGGCAACGAUGCGUAUCCGACCUCAGAGGGUGGUCGGCCACACGGGAACUGAGACACGGUCCAGACUCCUACGAGAGGCAGCAGUAGGGAAUCGUCCGCAAUGGGCGAGAGCCUGACGGAGCAACGCCGCGUGAGUGAUGAAGGUCUUCGGAUCGGAAAACUCUGUUAUUAGGGAAGAACAAAUGUGUAAGUAACUGUGCACAUCUUGACGGUACCUGAUCAGAAAGCCACGGCUAACUACGUG
rnacentral:rRNA from 1 species